GUAGGUGGCAAGCGUUGUCCGGAAUUAUUGGGCGUAAAGCGCGCGCAGGCGGUCCUUUAAGGUCUGAUGUGAAAGCCCACGGGCUCAACCGUGGAGGGUCAUUGGAAACUGGGGGGACUUGAGUACAGAAGAGGAAAGCGGAAUUCCAAGUGUAGCGGUGAAAUGCGUAGAGAUUUGGAGGAACACCAGUGGCGAAGGCGGCUUUCUGGUCUGUAACUGACGCUGAGGCGCGAAAGCGUGGGGAGCAAACAGGAUUAGAUACCCUGGUAGUCCACGCCGUAAACGAUGAGUGCUAAGUGUUAGGGGGUUUCCGCCCCUUAGUGCUGCAGCUAACGCAUUAAGCACUCCGCCUGGGGAGUACGGCCGCAAAGGCUGA
rnacentral:rRNA from 1 species